rnacentral:rRNA from 1 species
GGGGAAUAUUGCACAAUGGGCGAAAGCCUGAUGCAGCAACGCCGCGUGAGUGAUGAAGGCCUUCGGGUUGUAAAGCUCUGUCUUCUGGGACGAUAAUGACGGUACCAGAGGAGGAAGCCACGGCUAACUACGUGCCAGCAGCCGCGGUAAUACGUAGGUGGCAAGCGUUGUCCGGAUUUACUGGGCGUAAAGGAUGCGUAGGCGGAUACUUAAGUCAGAUGUGAAAAUCCCGGGCUUAACUUGGGAACUGCAUUUGAAACUGGGUAUCUAGAGUGCGGGAGAGGAAAGUGGAAUUCCUAGUGUAGCGGUGAAAUGCGUAGAGAUUAGGAAGAACACCGGUGGCGAAGGCGACUUUCUGGACCGUAACUGACGCUGAGGCAUGAAAGCGUGGGG